GACGAGAAGAAAGAAAGGAGUCGUCCCGUGCCCGUCGAACCUUAUCCAGCCGACCCUAAAAAAAAAAAGCCGCCGCUCGCCGCCCGGCCGCCGUGCCGCGUGUCUGUCCGGUGUCUCGUUCGCCCUGCGCCCCUGCCCAUCCGGCGAGCCCCGUGCAGCAGCGAGCAGUCCUCCUCUCCCAUCUCCUUCCUGGCUGCUCCCCUUGCUGAUCUGCAGGCUGCUGCCCCGUCCGGCUGACCGACGAGGCGGCGCGCCGGUGACCGCGUUCGUCCAGCCUGACCUCGACCCCGACGUCUGGCGUUCCGCCUCAGCCAAAGUCAGUUGGAGGGCGAGGCCGCGAGGGCGCUGUGGCUUAUAUCGGUUCACGUGCGCUUUACGGCAGAAGGGCUGCAUAUUUAUUGGCUGGAUUUUGCUUGUCUCCGAACUCCAAAUUCCAAUGCUGUCCGCGUCUAAACCCCUUCUCUCCCCGAGCUCCCUUAUUGCCAUGCCGAUUCGACCGCCGCCGCAUGCACCAACUCACUACGCCCCGCCUCACAGGCGGACAUUGCCAUUACGCUCCAUUGCGCGAGCGGCUCCUUCUUCUUCCACCGCCGCAACGGCCGUCUCGUUGCCGCCAUCUCCCAAGAAGGUUCUUGUGCCCAUUGCCAUGGGCACGGAGGAAAUGGAGGCAGUCAUCCUGGCCGGCGUCCUCAGGCGAGCAGGCGCUGACGUAACACUGGCCUCUGUGGAGGACGGCCUCGAGAUCGAGGCUUCCUAUGGGACGCGCAUCAUCGCAGACAAGCCCAUUGCAGCAUGUGCAGACCAGGGAGGAAUGCCUGGUUCAGUACGGCUGAGAGACAACGAGAUCCUUCAGAGAAUUAUGGUUAGACAAGCUGAAGAGAAAAGAUUGUAUGGUGCUAUAUGUGCUGCACCAGCGGUUGUUCUCAUGCCCUGGGGUCUUCACAAGGGAAGAAAGAUCACCUGUCACCCAUCCUUCAUAGGAGAUCUUCCAACAUUCCGAGCUGUUGAGUCAAAUGUUCAGGUUUCAGGAGAGCUCACUACUAGUCGUGGUCCUGGGACAGCAUUUCAGUUUGCUUUAUCAUUUGUCGAGCAAUUGUUUGGGCCUCACGCUGUUGAAGAUGUGGACAGUACUUUGAUUGAUGCUGCUCUUGAAAGAAGUACAGAAGUCAACAGAGUUGAAUGGCCUUUUGAUCACAAACCUCAGGUUCUCAUUCCAAUUGCAAAUGGGUCUGAGGAGAUGGAGAUCAUAAUGUUGGUGGAUAUUCUAAGACGGGCAAAUAUAAAUGUGGUGUUGGCAUCAGUUGACGAGUCCACAAAUGUUGUUGGGUCUCAAAGAAUGAAGAUUGUUGCGGAUAAAUGCAUAUUGGGUGCUUCUGAUUCAAAACAUGAUCUAAUCAUUAUUCCUGGGGGACCUGCCGGAGCUGAGCGUCUUCACAGGUCUACAACUCUUAAGAAGCUACUCAAGGAACAGAAGCAAGCAGGCAGGAUGUACGGUGGGAUCAGUUAUUCUCCAUUGAUAUUGCAGAAGCAAGGUUUACUCGAGGAUAAAACAGUAACUGCUCAUCCUUCCAUAGUCGAUCAGCUCACGUGCCAGGUUAUUGACGGAUCAAAGGUUGUGAUUGACGGAAAUUUGAUUACUGGGAAAGGACUCGGAACAGUCAUGGAUUUUUCCCUGGCUAUUGUAAGAAAAUUCUUUGGCCAUGGGCGAGCGAAAGGUGUGGCAAAUGGAAUGGUUUUUGACUACCCCAAGAGCAGAAACGCCUAGCAUUCCUGGCACAAUGGAGUGAUGUGCUGAAUGUUUGGUUAUGGUCUAUGGAUCUUGCGGUAGCUAUGCUCAAACUUUUAAGUGACCGUCUCUCUUGUGGAGAUGGCAAAAUUUUCUUCUGUUGCCGCCUUAGUGGAUAGCUGCAGACUGCAGUGAAAUGUCCACUGAAUAUGUUGAGAUGAACCACAACUGCAUUGGGAAAAUCCGGUUGGGGUCAGUUCACGUCAAGAUGUUCUGCGCGGAUGCGGCAUGGGCAUCAAGGGCCACGUGCUCUAUCUGUGCUUGGAGGCCACUGAGGACCUCUAAAGCGGCGGCGGCUCCAAGUACGGCAGCAGUGUCAUGCACGAGUUUGCUGAACCCGUGGCAGAACAGCAUGUGACGACAUAUGACAUAUCGGCAUUAUGUUGGCAAGUUUAUUUUCAACUUCUGGGCAAAAUCUGCUUGCGUAUGCUUUCCUGAAUAUUAAGGUGCAUGACCCGCAAACAUACAAUACAUCAAGCAAAAAUAGAUCCAUAAAACUGCUUAUCGUUUGAUGUUACUUUGAUGCUUGCUUAUAAUUUUGCUUUGUGACUAACGAGUUUAUGUUAUGU
rnacentral:rRNA from 1 species